GGUCAGAACUUUGGAUCAGCUGUGAACUCUUGGAUUCCUGGACUGUUCUGGCCUGCUGUUUUCCCCACACCUGGAUUGGCCUCCUGUAUAUUCUCUGAGGCUGCAGCAUCUGGGACACUCUGGGCAGCGCCAUCCCAUCGGCUGGAUCUCACCUCUUUAAAAGAAGAUGGACUGAACUGUCAAACCAGAGAGUGUCAGUGAAUGGGCUGUGCCCUUCCCAUGCUGCAGCCGCCGUGAGUCAAAGAUCCACAGCAGCGUCCUUCUGUUCUUUCUGUUUAUGUUUUUAUUUUAAUAAACAUUUUGAACUUUC